UUUGGAAGACCACGUAUUUUCCUCAUAAGGCCUGGAUAACGCGUUACUUCUCCAAAAUGACCAAAAAAAGUCUUCUCUAAGGUAUGUUAUUAAAUCAUUUAAAUUAAUAUAGUCUACUUGCAAAUUCCGUCACGUAAUUAGACUGAAUUGGUUAUCUUCUUCAAAACUAUCAUUUUAUUUGACCCGUAGUCUCUCCGAUCCCCUUGUAGUUAUGAAAUCAUCAUAGUUAUGUCUCUUUUCCAUCAUCUCGUGUCUCGUUUUCUUUCAUUAUGGCUUUUAAUUUUCCUCGUCUUCUUAGUAUUAUC